rnacentral:rRNA from 1 species
ACGUAGGUGGCAAGCGUUGUUCGGAAUUAUUGGGCGUAAAGCGCGCGCAGGCGGUUAUGUAAGUCUGAUGUUAAAGCCCGGGGCUCAACCUCGGUUCGCAUUGGAAACUGCGUAACUUGAGUGCAGAAGAGGAAAGCGGUAUUCCACGUGUAGCGGUGAAAUGCGUAGAGAUGUGGAGGAACACCAGUGGCGAAGGCGGCUCGCUGGGCAGUGGCUGACGCUGAGGCGCGACAGCGUGGGGAGCAAACAGGA